rnacentral:rRNA from 1 species
GUGCGAGCGUUAAUCGGAAUUACUGGGCGUAAAGCGUGCGUAGGCGGUUUUGUAAGCCAGAUGUGAAAUCCCCGGGCUUAACCUGGGAAUGGCAUUUGGGACUGCAAGGCUGGAGUGCGGCAGAGGAGACUGGAAUUCCUGGUGUAGCAGUGAAAUGCGUAGAUAUCAGGAGGAAUACCGAUGGCGAAGGCAGGUCUCUGGGCUGACACUGACGCUCAUGCACGAAAGCGUGGGGAGCAAACAGG